CAUCGGGGAAGGCUGAAAAUCAUUUCAAGGUGGAAGAUGAUUUUGACAUUUCUUCAACGGAACCCAGCACCUGAAUAUGGCUGAGUAUGUUUGAUUUAAUAUCGAUACUGCUUGGUGUUCUUUGUUACUUCAGCUUUUGUACGUUCUAAAUAUCUGCCGUCAUUAAUUGCCACAGAAGUUAAACCCUACCCAAUGGAAUGACGUUAAAAAACGACUUUGGUGCAGAGUUACCAACUGGAUAAUAUCAAAGCUAAAAUAAUGGCCGUCAUUCCCACAUGUUACAGUAGAAGAUACUCUAGAACUGUACAAGGUUAAAAAUGUAACAUGUAGUUUGUCCCAAGGUGUCUGCCUCCUCACCCAGAGCCAGACCUCCACCUCCUGUCAGAAGUCCUCCAGAACAGCUGAAAGGCGAGGCUGAGAGGCUGGGGACCGGAGGCUUGUGGUGCCAGGGUGGACCGGAGACUGAGGCUGGAGACCAGGGGCCUGCAGCACCGGACCAGAGGACCAGGAAUCCAUGGCUGAAGGAGCUGAUGGAGGAGCCGUUCUGAAGGAGCUGAUGGAGGAGUCGUGCUGAAGGCCCUGCCCGGUGGAGGAGCUGGUGGAGGCCCUGCCUGGUGAAGGACGGCUGUCGUGGGACCAGGACUCUGUCUGAGGAGAGCUGAUGGAGGAGCUGAGAUGCUGGAGGACGACUAGGAAUCGACCAACAAGGAUUCCUCAACGUGUUUCUGGAGCGGAGGCGAGCUGGUAGGGGAGCCGUGAAUCUGGAGGAUGACAUCACUCUACCAACAAGGAUUACGUUAGGGCCAGACUCGCGCUGUUUGUUCCAGACCAGGACUCUGGCUGAGGAGAGCUGAUGGAGGAGCCAAGACUCUGGAGGACAACAUCACUCUACCAACCAGGAUCCUCGAAUCUGGAGGACUGAUGGAGAAGCCGUACAUCUGGAAGGCAAAUCCUGAGGACAACCAGGACGCUACCAUCAAGGAUUCCUUACGCACUUGAGCUGAACCUCACCUGAUCCUGUUUGGUCAGGGGCAGACACACCUGAGCUGAACCCGCCCUGAUCCUGACAUCCUGCUGGUCCCGUCUCCUCAGUUCAUCUGAGCCUCGUCCACCAGAAGACCUGCUGAGCUCAGCAGUCUGAGGCUGAUGGAUCAAUGACCUCCAGUGGGAGUGAUCUUCUUGCCCCCACAUACCAGGAAUCCAUGGCUGAAGGAGCUGAUGGAGGAGCCGUGCUGAAGGAGCUAAAGGAGUCGUGCUGAAGGCCCUGCCUGGUGGAGGCCCUGCCUGGUGGAGGCCCUGCCUGGUGGAGGCCCUGCCUGGUGGAGGCCCUGCCUGGUGAAGGCCCUGCCUGGUGAAGGCCCUGCCUGGUGAAGGCCCUGCCUGGUGAAGGACCUGCCUGGUGAAGGACCUGCCUGGUGAAGGACCUGCCUGGUGAAGGAAGUCUGUCGUGGGAUAGAUGGAGCUUGACUCUGAAGACUCUGUCGGCGGAGAGCUAAUGGAGGAGCUGAGAUGCUGGAGGACGACUAGGAAUCGACCAAAAAGGAUUCCUCAACGUGUUUCUGGAGCGGAGGCGAGCUGGUAGGGGAGCCGUGAAUCUGGAGGAUGACCAUCACUCUACCAACAAGGAUUACUUUAGGGCCAGAUUCGCGCUGUUUGUUCCAGACCAGGACUCUGAUGGAGGAGAGCUGAUGGAGGAGCCAAGACUCUGGAGGAUGACAUCACUCCACCAACCAGAAUCCUCAGACAAAUUACGUUUGUAAGCAGACCAGGAAUCUGGAGGACUGAUGGAGAAGCCGUACAUCUGGAAGGCAAAUCCUGAGGACCACCAGGACUCUACCAUCGAGGAUCUGGACAUAGUGGACUAGACACACCUGAGCUGAACCUGAUCCUGUUUGGUCGGGGGGGUAGACGCACCUCAGCUAAACCCGCCCUGAUCCUGACAUCCUGCUGGUCCCGUCUUCUCAGUUAAUCUGAGCCUCGUCCUCCAGAAGACCUGCUGAGCUCGGCAGUCUGAGGCUGAUGGAUCGAUGACCUCCAGUGGGAGUGAUCCUCUUGACCCCACAUGUAACGUGUGCUUCCACACGCCUUUCCCUCACGUCUGUCACUAACCUCACUACUUCACAACUCUCUACUGCUUCCUCUUUUCUUCCUUCUCUGUGGUUCAAACCUUUACACUGAAGGCGCGUCUUCAUGCCCUCAGAGGGUUUAGCGUUAGGGUUGAGAGUCAGGGUUUAGAGUCAGGGACAGAGCUGGUCAGGGAGGACUGCUUUUACACAAACCUCUUCACUUGCUUUCGGAAUGGUGGUGACAUUUUGAAAAGAUUAAA